rnacentral:rRNA from 1 species
GAUGAACGCUGGCGGCGUGCUUAACACAUGCAAGUCGAACGGAAAGGCCCAAGCUUGCUUGGGUACUCGAGUGGCGAACGGGUGAGUAACACGUGGGUGAUCUGCCCUGCACUUCGUGAUAAGCCUGGGAAACUGGUUCUAAUACCUGAUAGGACCACAUUUUGGAUGGUGUGGUGGAGAGUUUUUCGGUGUGGGAUGAGCUCGCGGCCUAUCAGCUUGUUGGUGGGGUAAUGGCCUACCAAGGCGUCGACGGGUAGCCGGCCUGGGAGGGUGUACGGCCACAUUAGGCCUAAGGUACGGAGCAGACUCCUACGGGAGGCAGUAGGCGGGAAUAUUGCACAAUGGGGGCACGCGUGAUGCAGCGACCCUGGGUGGGGGAUGACGGCCUUCGGGUUGUAAACUCCUUUCGCUAGAGACGAAGCGCAAGUGACGGUACCUGGAGAAGAAGCACCGGCUAACUACGUG